GGGUUCAGCAGAUCGUACAAUCAAGAUUUGGGAUGUUGCAAGUGGAAAGUUAAAGCUCACAUUGACAGGCCACAUUGAGCAAGUACGAGGUCUUGCUGUCAGCAACAGGCAUACCUACAUGUUUUCAGCUGGUGAUGAUAAACAAGUUAAAUGCUGGGACCUGGAACAGAAUAAGGUAAUUCGUCAUUACCAUGGUCAUUUGAGUGGUGUCUACUGUUUGGCUCUUCAUCCAACAAUUGAUGUUUUGCUUACUGGGGGACGUGAUUCUGUCUGCCGGGUGUGGGACAUUCGAAGUAAGAUGCAAAUUCAUGCCCUCUCUGGGCAUGAUAACACAGUUUGCUCGGUUUUUACUAGACCUACGGACCCACAAGUUGUGACUGGCUCCCAUGACACAACUAUCAAGUUUUGGGACCUCAGAUAUGGAAAGACAAUGACAACUCUGACAUACCAUAAGAAAUCUGUUCGGGCAAUGGCAUUGCAUCCUAAAGAGCAC
rnacentral:misc_RNA from 1 species